rnacentral:rRNA from 1 species
AUUGAACGCUGGCGGCAGGCCUAACACAUGCAAGUCGAGCGGAGCGGCGGACGGGUGCGUAAUGCCUAGGAAUCUGCCCGUUCGUGGGGGAUAACGUCCGGAAACGGGCGCGAAUAUCGCAUACUAUCAGAUGAGCCUAGGCCGGAUUAGCUAGUUGGUGGUGGAAAGGCCUACCAAGGCAACGAUCCGUAACUGGUCUGAGAGGAUGACCAGUCACACUGGAACUGAGACACGGUCCAGACUCCUACGGGAGGCAGCAGUGGGGAAUAUUGGACAAUGGGCGAAAGCCUGAUCCAGCCAUGCCGCGUGUGUGAAGAAGGUCUUCGGGUUGUAAAGCACUUUUAGUUGGGAAGCGUUACCAGCAGAAUAAGCACCGGCUAACUUCGUGCCAGCAGCCGCGGUAAUUC